rnacentral:rRNA from 1 species
AGUCGACGAAGUCUUCGGACUUAGUGGCAGACGGGUGAGUAACGCGUGGGAACAUGCCCAUCGGUUCGGAAUAACCAAGGGAAACUUUGGCUAAUACCGGAUACGCCCCUUGGGGGAAAGAUUUAUCGCCGAUGGAUUGGCCCGCGUCUGAUUAGCUUGUUGGUGAGGUAAUGGCUCACCAAGGCGACGAUCAGUAGCUGGUCUGAGAGGAUGAUCAGCCACACUGGGACUGAGACACGGCCCAGACUCCUACGGGAGGCAGCAGUGGGGAAUAUUGGACAAUGGGCGCAAGCCUGAUCCAGCCAUGCCGCGUGAGUGAUGAAGGCCUUAGGGUUGUAAAGCUCUUUUAUCCGGGACGAUAAUGACGGUACCGGAAGAAUAAGCCCCGGCUAACUUCGUGCCAGCAGCCGCGGUAAUACGAAGGGGGCUAGCGUUGCUCGGAAUCACUGGGCGUAAAGGGCGCGUAGGCGGAUAUUUAAGUCGGGGGUGAAAGCCCGGGGCUCAACCCCGGAAUUGCCUCCGAUACUGGGUAUCUCGAGACCGGAAGAGGUAAGUGGAACUGCGAGUGUAGAGGUGAAAUUCGUAGAUAUUCGCAAGAACACCAGUGGCGAAGGCGGCUUACUGGUCCGGUUCUGACGCUGAGGCGCGAAAGCG